rnacentral:lncRNA from 1 species
AAAUUUAAAUCAAUUUCAAAUUUAAUUCUAAUUAAAAUACUGAUGGACUUCAAUCAAAUCUUAGAAAAAUUCUAAAUCCUAAACCAAACCAUAAAUCAAACCUUAGAAAAAUCCUAAAUCCUAAACUAAAUCCUAAAUCAAAUCUUAAACAAAUCCUAAAUCAAAUCUUAAAAAAACUCUAAACCCUAAACCAAAUCCUAAAUCAAACCAUAAAUCAAACCAUAAAUCAAAUCUUAGACAAAUCCUAAAUCAAAUCCUAGAAAAAUCCUAAAUCCUAAAUUAAAUCCUAGAUCAAAUCUUAGAUCCUAUAAAUCCUAAAUUAAAUCCUAGAUCAAAUCUUAGAUCCUAAAUCAAAUCCUAAAUCAAAUCCUAAAUAAAUUCUAAAUCCUAAAUCAAAUUCUAGAAAAAUUCUAAAUCCUAAAUCAAAUCCUAGAUAAAUCCUAAAUCCUAAAUCACAUCCUAAGAAAAUUCUAAA